GGAUGCGAUCAUACCAGCCCUAACGCACCGGAUCCCAUCAGAACUCCGAAGUUAAGCGUGCUUGGGCAAGAAUAGGACUAGGAUGCACGAACCCCUGGGAAGUCCUCGUGUUGCAUCCC